UCCAGCAGUCGUAACACCCUGUAGCCCACGACUGGUUGCCCAAUGACCCUAAGCAGGGUUGGGCUUGGCCAGUACCUGGAUGGGAGAACUCCAGGGAAAACUAGGUUGCAAGCAGGAG
ensembl:rRNA 5S_rRNA 5S ribosomal RNA